GUAAUUUUAGAUAAUAUGUGUGAUAAAAUAGUCACAACUAAUUAUUUAAUUUAGGGAUGUAGCAAUGAUAUUGGAAUUAUAUCGGUAUAAGCCAUGAUGCUGUUAUUUUUUUAAAAUUUCAAUAUUUUAAACUGAUAUCUUUUACAUUCACUGUUUGCUGGAAAAUGACCAAGCCCCUACAAUUGGUCUACACUGCUCUAACUUACUUGAAAAUGAAGUAUUUUAAGAAAAUUUUAAAAAGUGUGAUUACAUUUUUUUAUCAUUUUUUUAAAGUUAUAAAUUUAUACUGCCUUCAAGUCCUCCUUGGAAAUUCUUAUUUACAAGUUUGAAGGUCAUAAUUACAACUUGACAUGUGUUUUUUGGUCCCGUGGAAAUGGACGCCAUUAGGAAAAUCCUUUUGUUCAGACUUUUGGUCUAUUAUCUUAAAAACAAGAGGUUAAUCUUUGCCCUACUCCAAGAGAAUAAAGUGAAUACGACACACACAAAGGCCCAGGCUUCAGUCUUACAGCCUGAAGGGAGGAAUAAACAAGCACCUCUGGGAGAGUGGGAGACAGCGAGAGGUGGGAGGGGGAGCAGCAGCAUAAAGAUGGGGAGAGGAGAGGAGCUUUGGAGCCGAAACCCGAGGUCUGAGCUAGUCUUGGUAUCUCCGAAUUGCAGAAAUGAGGUGUUAGCACGAGAUUGACCCCCCUCCCCCUUAAAAACCCCAGGAUCCUAACAGAUGAGCCCUGACUGUGGUGAGCUGUGGGGCCGCUGAGACUACAGGCCAGCUGCUAUUUUAUCCCCUGGCUUUCUUUUUUCACUAGUCGCACUGCUGUUUUUGUACGACGGCGUGCGGGAUCCCGACUGCCGCCUCUUGGGUAGCGCUCCAUUGGCAGCCCGACGCGGUCCUAAAUACAGCGGGACGAGGGGGUCCUGCGAAGGAGACAAAGUGUGGAGGGCGAAUUUGCUUUAAGUGCGGCGGUGUCUACGCAAAUGCAAGUGGCAGGCAACGGCGAGGAUGUUUUGAAUGGAAAAUCUGGCAUUGUGGGAAGAGUUUGCUGCCUCUGACCCCGGCGGCUACCAGACAGGCGAGUGUGAAAUCUGUAUGAAAGGUAAGCAGCUGAUAACAUUACCCAACAAAGGCAAUAUCAUCUUUU
rnacentral:lncRNA from 1 species